rnacentral:rRNA from 1 species
UGGGGAAUAUUGCACAAUGGGCGAAAGCCUGAUGCAGCAACGCCGCGUGAGCGAUAAGGCCUUUGGGUCGUAAAGCUCUGUCCUUGGGGAAGAAACAAAUGACGGUACCCUUGGAGGAAGCCCCGGCUAACUACGUGCCAGCAGCCGCGGUAAUACGUAGGGGGCGAGCGUUAUCCGGAAUUAUUGGGCGUAAAGAGUGCGUAGGUGGCCAUGUAAGCGCGGGGUGAAAGGCAAUAGCUUAACUAUUGUAAGCCUUGCGAACUGUGUGGCUUGAGUGCAGGAGAGGAAAGUGGAAUUCCUAGUGUAGCGGUGAAAUGCGUAGAUAUUAGGAGGAACACCAGUGGCGAAGGCGACUUUCUGGACUGUAACUGACACUGAGGCACGAAAGCGUGGGGAGCAAACAG